GGCCCAAUCCCUACUUCUGUUUCCUUGUUUGGAGAAUGAGCUGGUGGGAGGGUGCUCAGUGGUGCCUGAUGACCCCUGUUCCGUGGCACCUGCCCCCCCAGAUGUCAACGACCUGUUGAAGUUUAUUCGGCCACUGCAUGAAGGCACCCUGGUGUUCGUGGCAUCCUACGACGACCCUGCCACCAAGUAGGUGCUUGGGGAGGCCAGCCUCAGCCUUGCCCUUCUGCAGCGACAGCUGACACCUCUUCCUCCCAUGCUGCAGGAUGAAUGAAGAGACCAGAAAGCUCUUCAGUGAGCUGGGCAGCAGGAACGCCAAGGAGCUGGCCUUCCGGGACAGCUGGGUGUUUGUCGGGGCCAAAGGUGUGCAGAACAAGAGCCCCUUCGAGCAGCACGUGAAGAACAGUAAGCACACCAACAAGUACGAAGGCUGGCCUGAGGCGCUGGAGAUGGAAGGCUGCAUCCCGCGGAGAAGCACGGCCAGCUAGCACGGCCAGCGCCAGGACCAGGCCGAGGGAGGCCAGACCAAGGGAGGCACGCGUGCUGCCGGGCGGACAGAGGCUGAGGCCCACACCCCAUGCCUGGGCA
rnacentral:sRNA from 1 species